rnacentral:tRNA from 1 species
GCUGAUAUAGCUCAGGUGGUAGAGCGCAUCCUUGGUAAGGAUGAGGUCGGCAGUUCGACUCUGCCUAUCAGCACCA